UUCUAGCCCCGAUCGCAGUGGAAAUCCCGGAAGCGCGGCUGCAAAGCCGCGCUGAGGAAUUGCAAUGAAGAGCGGGUUGUAGC
rfam:Chryseobacterium solincola strain DSM 22468 contig02, whole genome shotgun sequence.